rnacentral:rRNA from 1 species
AGUGAACGCUGGCGGUAGGCCUAACACAUGCAAGUCGAACGGCAGCACAGUAAGAGCUUGCUCUUACGGGUGGCGAGUGGCGGACGGGUGAGGAAUACAUCGGAAUCUACUUUUUCGUGGGGGAUAACGUAGGGAAACUUACGCUAAUACCGCAUACGACCUACGGGUGAAAGCAGGGGAUCUUCGGACCUUGCGCGAUUGAAUGAGCCGAUGUCGGAUUAGCUAGUUGGCGGGGUAAAGGCCCACCAAGGCGACGAUCCGUAGCUGGUCUGAGAGGAUGAUCAGCCACACUGAAACUGAGACACGGCCCAGACUCCUACGGAGGGCAGCGGUGGGGAAUUUUGGACAAUGGGGGCAAGCCUGAGCCAGCCAUACCGCGUGGGUGAAGAAGGCCUUCGGGUUGUAAAGCCCUUUUGUUGGGAAAGAAAAGCAGCAGGUUAAUACCCCGCUGUUCUGACGGUACCCAAAGAAUAAGCACCGGCUAACUUCGU